rnacentral:piRNA from 1 species
UGCUCCUGUAACCCUGCCUACUUGC